rnacentral:rRNA from 1 species
GUGCCAGCAGCCGCGGUAAAACGUAGGUCCCGAGCGUUGUUCGGAUUCACUGGGUGUAAAGGGCGCGUAGGUGGUUGUCUGUGUCUCAUGUGAAAACUCAGGGCUCAACUCUGAGAUGGCGUGGGAAACUAGGCAGCUAGAGGACGGUAGAGGGGAGUGGAAUUCCCGGUGUAGCGGUAAAAUGCGUAGAUAUCGGGAGGAACACCAGUGGCGAAGGCGACUACCUGGACGACAACUGACGCUGAGGCGCGAAAGCUAGGGGAGCGAACCGGAUUAGAUACCCGGGUAGUCCUAGCCGUAAACGAUGGGUGCUAGGUGUUGGGGGGUAAAGACCCUUCAGUGCCGAAGCCAACGCGAUAAGCAUCCCACCUGGGGAGUACGGCCGCAAGGUUGAAACUUAAAGGAAUUGACGG